rnacentral:tRNA from 1 species
UCCCUGGUGGCUCAGAGGAUAAAGCUUCUGCCUGCAAUGUAGGAGACCCGGGUUCAAUCCCUGGGUUGGGAA